CGUCCGAGAGACCGAUAGCUCACAAGUACCGUGAGGGAAAGUUGAAAAGAACUUUGAAGAGAGAGUUCAAGAGUACGUGAAACCGCUUAGAGUAAAACGGGUGGGCCCUCGAAGCACGAGGGCGGUGGGAUUCAGUUUCGCUGUAACGUGAAGCGGUGUCAGCGUCUUGGUUUACGGGCUCUCCCUGUGGGGGCUCGUUCCGGCUACCCGCGCGGUGCCGCGCACUACGAAACGCAUUUUCCACCGUCGGUAGGACGCGCGACGGGCACGGGUAAUCCUUUCAAGAACGAUUUUGAGUCCGGCCGCUGGAGGUGACCGGCGACGGCCCUUGUUUGGCUGUCGUGGGACUUAUACCUGGCCGGUAAUCGAGCACGUCACCCUGCCCAGGCCUCAUGGGCUACUCCCUUUGGGGAGGCCCGAAACGAUGCCCUCCGGAUGCGGAGCGGGAAACCCGGCUGGGUCAACGGGUCCCCUGCCUUACGCCAGGUAUUCGCCUGACUUUCGGUGUUGGGCUCGGAACCGGCGAGGCAGGUUCUCUCCGCGGAGGUUUUUUUGCGUCAAGGUUGGCGGCGAGUAGGUCGGUAACCCACCCGACCUGUCUUGAAACACGGACCUAGGAGUCUAACAUGUGCGCGAGUCAAUGGGUCCCUCAAAACCCAGAGGUGCAAUGAAACGUGAAGGCGCGGCCUCGUGCCGUGCCGAGUGGCGAUCCCGGGCCGCCCAGGGGUCCGAUGAAGGGAGCAGCACGGCCCGCCCCACACGCUCACGUCGUGGGGGCGGCGCUAGAGCGCACACGUUGGCACCCGAAAGAUGGUGAACUAUGCCCGGGCAGGACGAGGCCAGAGGAAACUCUGGUGGAGGUCCGAAGCGCUUCUGGCGUGCAAAUCGAUCGUCCGACCCAGGUAUAGAGGCGAAAGACUAAUCGAACCAUCUAGUAGAUGGUUCCCUCCGAAGUUUCUCUCAGGAUAGCUGGCGCUUGUUGCCGAGACCAGUCACACCUGGUAAAGCCAAUGAUUAGAGGCAUUGGGGUCGAUACGACUUCAACCUAUUCUCAAACUUUCAAUGGGUGUGUCGGAGGCCUUCUGGUCUGAGGCCUCCGGAAGCGAUGAGAGCGCCAAGUGGGCCACUUUUGGUAAGCAGAACUGGCGCUGUGGGAUGAACCAAACGCCGGGGUAAGGCGCCCGAUGCGGGACGCUCAUGAGAUCCUAUGAAGGGUGUUGGUUGCUUAAGACAGCAGGACGAUGGCCAUGGAAGUCGGAACCCGCUUAGAGUGUGUAACAACUCACUUGCCGACGCAACUUGCCCCGAAAAUAGAUGACGCUCAUGUGUCGAGCCUAUCCCCGGCCGCUGCCGGCAGAUGCACGCAAACAAGGGGGUGCUAAGCUGCAGCGAGUAGGAGGGCCGCUGCGGCGAGCGUUGAACGUGUCGGGCAUAAGCCCGUCUGGAGCCGCCGCUGGUGCAGAUCUUGGUGGUAGUAGCAAAUACUCAAGUGAGAACCUUGAGGACUGAAGUGGAGAAGGGUUCCAUGUGAACAGCAGUUGAACAUGGGUCAGUCGGUCCUAAGGGAAAGGAGAAGUUCUUUCCGAAGCCAGAGCACUUUUUUGCAGUGGAGAGAGCCCCGCAGUGACCGAAAGGGAAUCGGGUAAAUAAUCUCGAGCCCGGACACGGAGAUUGGUCCUUCGGGGCCCAGUGCGGUAACGCAAACCAGCUCAGAGACGCCAAUGCGAGCCCCGGGAAGAGUUUUCUUUUCUCUGUAAGGAGAUCGAGUCCCUGGAAUGGGUUCGCCCCGAAGUAGGAAUGGUGACUCCGUAGAGCAGUGCGGUUCUUGCUCUGUCCGGUGCACUCGCGUCGGCCCUUGAAAAUCCGAGUGAGGCAGUAUGAUUUUCGUGCCGCACCGUACCCACAUCCGCAGCAGGUCUCCAAGGUGAACAGCCUCUAGUGACGUAUGGACCAAUGUAGGUAAGGGAAGUCGGCAAAACGGAUCCGCAACUUGGGAUAAGGAUUGGCUCUGAGGACUGAGUCGGUCGGGCUGGGGACCUGAAGCAAAAACGGCACUGUACCGGGACUGGGUGGGGCUCGCCGUUCACGCGGCGCGGCCAAGCCCGAACCAGCUUCGGGAUUUUCCUGUGGAAAGCCUCAGCUGCGCGGCGUCUGAGGGCUUCGUGCCCAAAGUGCUAUGCUUCGGCCGGCAAAAAACAGUCAACUCAGAACUGGCACGGACCGGGGGAAUCCGACUGUCUAAUUAAAACAAUGCAUUGCGAUGGCCGGUGUUGGCGCAAUGUGAUUUCUGCCCAGUGCUCUGAAUGUCAACGUGAAGAGAUUCAUCAAAGCGCGGGUAAACGGCGAGAGUAACUAUGACUCUCUUGUCAUAGUUACUCCCGCCAUCAAAGGUGCCAUCAAAGGACAGGAAGGUGAAGGUGGACACCUCGGAAAGUUUUACGGUGGGAGGCAUCGCGUUACCAACGAGCGACACCGCCUCGGUGUGGAAAUACCUGGGCCUCCAGUUUACGGCAAUGGGUAGAAGGGCCAUGCCGUUGGCGAGAGAGCUAACCGAGCUCCUGGGUAGGGUCUCGAAGGCCCCUUUAAAACCUCAACAGAGGCUUGUGAUCUUGAAGUUUUACCUCAUUCCGCGCCUCUUACAUAGGUUGAUCUUAGGACCUUGAUCGCAGAACCUUUUGCUCCGACUAGACAAGAUGGUCAGAGCCGCAAUGAGAAGGUGGCUGGCACUGCCACACGAUGGUCCGAUGGCAUACUUUCAUGCCGAGGUCUCCGAGGGUGGGUUGGGCGUCCCGUCAUUGAAGACGACCAUACCAGGUA
rnacentral:rRNA from 1 species